rnacentral:rRNA from 1 species
UAGACAUAAACAACACCACCCGCACCCCGCCAGAGGAUUACAAGUGAAAAACUUAAAACUCAAAGGACUUGACGGUGUCCCACCACACUAGAGGAGCCUGUCCUAUAAUCGAUACCCCACGUUCUACCUCACCCCUCCUUGCCCAACCUAUAUACCGCCGUCGCCAGCUCACACUGUGAAUGCACCACCGUAAGCAAAACCAUCUAGCAUUAAAACGACAGGUCAAGGUGUAGUUUAUGGAGGGACAGUGAUGGGCUACAUUUUCUAAAUAGAAAACACCAACCGCAUUAUGAAACUGCCUAAAGGCGGAUUUAGAAGUAAACUUGGCAAGGCAUGCCAACUUGUAGCCCUGGGACGC